GAGCCUCCAAGAAGGACUUGACUGGCUACUCUUCUAAAUCAAAUCAUAAGGGGGGGUAACCAAAUGCCACACCUGCCUUGCUCUGGGAUAUAAAAGAAGCAUGUGCUCCAAAGUCUCAUCUACCAAACCGCAAGAGGGGCAAGAAGUCGAAAUGUCCAUUCCUUUGGUUCUCAAUAGAACCUUGAUCGAUAGUCGACUCGAAGCAACCUUUUGCAGAAAUAGACUCAUCUUGAGAUGAAUUCGAAGCCUUCAAAUCCAGACACAGUCCAUCAUCC
rnacentral:lncRNA from 1 species